rnacentral:pre_miRNA from 1 species
UCUUCAUUCCGCACACUCUCUCGCCUCUCUGACCGGCGAGAGAGCACGUGAAAUGAAGAGA